rnacentral:rRNA from 1 species
CCUACGGGAGGCAGCAGUGGGGAAUAUUGGGCAAUGGACGCAAGUCUGACCCAGCAACGCCGCGUGGGUGAAGAAGCGCCUCGGCGCGUAAAGCCCUGUCAGCAGGGAAGAAAAUGACGGUACCUGAAGAAGAAGCCCCGGCUAACUACGUGCCAGCAGCCGCGGUAAUACGUAGGGGGCAAGCGUUAUCCGGAUUUACUGGGUGUAAAGGGGGCGCAGACGGCGAUGCAAGCAAGGAGUGAAAGCCCGGGGCCCAACCCCGGGACUGCUCUUGGAACUGCGUGGCUGGAGUGCAGGAGGGGCAGGCGGAAUUCCUGGUGUAGCGGUGAAAUGCGUAGAUAUCAGGAGGAACACCGGUGGCGAAGGCGGCCUGCUGGACUGCAACUGACGUUGAGGCCCGAAAGCGUGGGGAGCAAACAGGAUUAGAUACCCUUGUAGUC